GAUGAACGCUGGCGGUAUGCUUAACACAUGCAAGUCGAACGGACUCUUCGGAGUUAGUGGCGGACGGGUGAGUAACGCGUGAGAAUCUGGCUUUGGGUUCGGGACAACCACUGGAAACGGUGGCUAAUACCGGAUGUGCCGAGAGGUAAAAGAGAAAUUGCCUGAAGAUGAGCUCGCGUCUGAUUAGCUAGUUGGUGAGGUAAAGGCUCACCAAGGCAGCGAUCAGUAGCUGGUCUGAGGGGAUGACCAGCCACACUGGGACUGAGACACGGCCCAGACUCCUACGGGAGGCAGCAGUGGGGAAUUUUCCGCAAUGGGCGAAAGCCUGACGGAGCAAUACCGCGUGAGAGAAGAAGGCUCUUGGGUUGUAAACCUCUUUUCUUAGGGAAGAACAAAAUGACGGUACCUAAGGAAUCAGCAUCGGCUAACUCCGUG
rnacentral:rRNA from 1 species